rnacentral:misc_RNA from 1 species
AACGCACCUUGCGCUCCUUGGUAUUCCGAGGAGCAUGCCUGUUUGAGUGUCAUUAAAUUCUCAACCCUUCCAGCUUUUGCGAGUUGUGAUGGGCUUGGAUAUGGGAGUUUGCGGGUCUUUAUCAAUAAAGGUCAGCUCUCCUGAAAUACAUUAGCGGAACCGUUUGCAGUCCCGUCACUAGUGUGAUAAUUAUCUACACUGUGAUGAUUGCUCUCUGACUAGUUCAGCUGCUAAUCGUCCACUAUGGACAACACUUAAUGAACUUCUUGACCUCAAAUCAGGUAGGACUACCCGCUGAACUUAA